rnacentral:rRNA from 1 species
UAGGGAAUCUUCGGCAAUGGGGGCAACCCUGACCGAGCAACGCCGCGUGAGUGAAGAAGGUUUUCGGAUCGUAAAGCUCUGUUGUAAGAGAAGAACGAGUGUGAGAGUGGAAAGUUCACGCUGUGACGGUAUCUUACCAGAAAGGGACGGCUAACUACGUGCCAGCAGCCGCGGUAAUACGUAGGUCCCGAGCGUUAUCCGGAUUUAUUGGGCGUAAAGCGAGCGCAGGCGGUUAGAUAAGUCUGAAGUUAAAGGCUGUGGCUUAACCAUAGUACGCUUUGGAAACUGUUUAACUUGAGUGCAGAAGGGGAGAGUGGAAUUCCAUGUGUAGCGGUGAAAUGCGUAGAUAUAUGGAGGAACACCGGUGGCGAAAGCGGCUCUCUGGUCUGUAACUGACGCUGAGGCUCGAAAGCGUGGGGAGCAAACAGGAUUAGAUACCCUGGUAGUCCACGCCGUAAACGAUGAGUGCUAGGUGUUGGAUCCUUUCCGGGAUUCAGUGCCGCAGCUAACGCAUUAAGCACUCCGCCUGGGGAGUACGACCGCAAGGUUG